AUUGAACGCUGGCGGCAGGCCUAACACAUGCAAGUCGAACGAGUGGCGGACGGGUGAGUAAUGUCUGGGAAACUGCCCGAUGGAGGGGGAUGACUACUGUAAACGGUAGCUAAUACCGCAUACCAUCGGAUGUGCCCAGAUGGGAGUAGCUAGUAGGUGGGGUAACGGCGCACCAAGGCGACGAUCCCUAGCGGGUCUGAGAGGAUGACCAGCAACAAUGGAACGGAGACACGGGCAAGACUCCGACGGGAGGCAGCAGGGGGGAAUAUGGCAAAAUGGGCGAAAGCCUGAUGCAGCCAUGCAGCGUGUAUGAAGAAGGACUUCGGGUUGUAAAGUACUUUUAGCGAGGAGGCGUUACUCGCAGAAGAAGCACCGGCUAACUACGUGCCAGCAGCAGCGGUAAUAC
rnacentral:rRNA from 1 species